CGAGUGGCGGACGGGUGAGGAAUACAUCGGAAUCUACCUUUUCGUGGGGGAUAACGUAGGGAAACUUACGCUAAUACCGCAUACGACCUUCGGGUGAAAGCAGGGGACCUUCGGGCCUUGCGCGGAUAGAUGAGCCGAUGUCGGAUUAGCUAGUUGGCGGGGUAAAGGCCCACCAAGGCGACGAUCCGUAGCUGGUCUGAGAGGAUGAUCAGCCACACUGGAACUGAGACACGGUCCAGACUCCUACGGGAGGCAGCAGUGGGGAAUAUUGGACAAUGGGCGCAAGCCUGAUCCAGCCAUACCGCGUGGGUGAAGAAGGCCUUCGGGUUGUAAAGCCCUUUUGUUGGGAAAGAAAAGCAGCCAGUUAAUACCUGGUUGUUCUGACGGUACCCAAAGAAUAAGCACCGGCUAACUUCGUGCCAGCAGCCGCGGUAAUACGAAGGGUGCAAGCGUUACUCGGAAUUACUGGGCGUAAAGCGUGCGUAGGUGGUUGUUUAAGUCUGUUGUGAAAGCCCUGGGCUCAACCUGGGAAUUGCAGUGGAUACUGGGCGACUAGAGUGUGGUAGAGGGUAGUGGAAUUCCUGGUGUAGCAGUGAAAUGCGUAGAGAUCAGGAGGAACAUCCAUGGCGAAGGCAGCUACC
rnacentral:rRNA from 1 species